rnacentral:rRNA from 1 species
AACGAACGCUGGCGGCAGGCUUAACACAUGCAAGUCGAACGCAUCGCAAGAUGAGUGGCAGACGGGUGAGUAACACGUGGGAACAUACCCUUUGGUGCGGAACAACAGCUGGAAACGGCUGCUAAUACCGCAUGCGCCCUACGGGGGAAAGAUUUAUCGCCGAAGGAUUGGCCCGCGUCUGAUUAGCUAGUUGGUGAGGUAAUGGCUCACCAAGGCGACGAUCAGUAGCUGGUCUGAGAGGAUGAUCAGCCACACUGGGACUGAGACACGGCCCAGACUCCUACGGGAGGCAGCAGUGAGGAAUAUUGGUCAAUGGACGCAAGUCUGAACCAGCCACGUCGCGUGAAGGAAGACGGCCCUACGGGUUGUAAACUUCUUUUAUACGGGAAUAAAGUGCCCACGCGUGGGGUUUUGCAUGUACCGUAUGAAUAAGGAUCGGCUAACUCCGUG